rnacentral:rRNA from 1 species
ACGUAGGACGCAAGCGUUAUCCGGAGUAACUGGGCGUAAAGGGCGUGCAGGCGGCUUUUCAAGUGGCUCGUGAAAGACCCCGGCUCAACCGGGGAGGGUCGGGUCAGACUGAGAGGCUGGAGGAUGUCAGAGGGACACGGAAUUCCGGGUGUAGUGGUGAAAUGCGUAGAGAUCCGGAGGAACACCCGUGGCGAAGGCGGCUCUCUGGGACGGUACUGACGCUGAGACGCGAAAGCGUGGGGAGCGAACAGGA